UACGUAGGGGGCAAGCGUUGUCCGGAGUUACUGGGCGUAAAGCGCACGCAGGCGGUCUUUUAAGUUUGGAGUGACAGUUGGUGGCUUAACUGCCAAAGUGCUUCGAAAACUGACAGACUUGAGGGCUUCAGAGGGACACGGAAUUCCGGGUGGAGUGGUGAAAUGCGUAGAGAUCCGGAGGAACACCAAAGGCGAAGGCAGCUCGCUGGGACGUUACUGACACUGAGGCGCGAAAGCGUGGGGAGCGAACAGG
rnacentral:rRNA from 1 species